rnacentral:lncRNA from 1 species
CCUUCACAUUUCUUUUUCAUAUUUCAGGCACUUAUACCCAUUUAAAAGCAUCUGAGCAGAAUUAGAGAAAACCGUGGAAGAGGAGGAUGAGAUGUGCGAAAGAGAGGGUGGUAGAGGAGCAGGAGGCUGUUUACCACUGCUUUGCAAACAGAUGCCCUGAAGUACCAGUCCACAGAGAAGCAAGCUGCUCCUGGCAAAGAGGACUCUGGCCGGCUCCUCCAGCACCCCAGCUGGCU